rnacentral:rRNA from 1 species
UACAGAGGGCCCAAGCGUUACUCGGAAUUACUGGGCGUAAAGGGCGCGUAGGUGGUUUUUUAAGUCCGUUGUGAAAUCCCUGGGCUCAACCUGGGAAUGGCAGUGGAUACUGGAAAGCUAGAGUGCGGUAGAGGGUAGUGGAAUUCCCGGUGUAGCAGUGAAAUGCGUAGAGAUCGGGAGGAACACCAGUGGCGAAGGCGGGUUGCUGGGCUGACACUGACGCUGAGGCGCGAAAGCUAGGGGAGCGAACGGG